rnacentral:rRNA from 1 species
AAGUCGAACGGAAAGGCCUUUUCGGAGGUACUCGAGUGGCGAACGGGUGAGUAACACGUGGGUGAUCUGCCCUGCACUCUGGGAUAAGCCCGGGAAACUGGGUCUAAUACCGGAUAGGACCGCACUUUAGUGUGUGUGGUGGAAAGUUUUUUCGGUGUAGGAUGAGCCCGCGGCCUAUCAGCUUGUUGGUGGGGUAAUGGCCUACCAAGGCGGCGACGGGUAGCCGGACUGAGAGGUUGGUCGGCCACAUUGGGACUGAGAUACGGCCCAGACUCCUACGGGAGGCAGCAGUGGGGAAUAUUGCACAAUGGGCGCAAGCCUGAUGCAGCGACGCCGCGUGGGGGAUGACGGCCUUCGGGUUGUAAACUCCUUUCGCCAGGGACGAAGCGUUUUGUGACGGUACCUGGAGAAGAAGCACCGGCUAACUACGUGCCAGCAGCCGCGGUAAUACGUAGGGUGCAAGCGUUGUCCGGAAUUACUGGGCGUAAAGAGCUCGUAGGUGGUUUGUCACGUCGUCUGUGAAAUUCCACAGCUUAACUGUGGGCGUGCAGGCGAUACGGGCUGACUUGAGUACUGUAGGGGUAACUGGAAUUCCUGGUGUAGCGGUGAAAUGCGCAGAUAUCAGGAGGAACACCGAUGGCGAAGGCAGGUUACUGGGCAGUUACUGACGCUGAGGAGCGAAAGCAUGGGUAGCAAAC